rnacentral:rRNA from 1 species
ACACCUACGGGUGGCAGCAGUGGGGAAUCUUGCGCAAUGGGGGAAACCCUGACGCAGCAACGCCGCGUGGGUGAUGAAGGCCUUCGGGUCGUAAAGCCCUGUCAGGUGGGAAGAAACUUGUGGAUGUUAAUACCAUCCGCACUUGACGGUACCACCGGAGGAAGCACCGGCUAACUCCGUGCCAGCAGCCGCGGUAAUACGGAGGGUGCAAGCGUUGUUCGGAAUUAUUGGGCGUAAAGCGCGUGUAGGUGGUCAGGUAAGUCAGAUGUGAAAGCCUUCUGCUUAACAGAAGAAGUGCAUUUGAAACUGCUUGGCUAGAGUACGGGAGAGGAGAGUGGAAUUCCCGGUGUAGAGGUGAAAUUCGUAGAUAUCGGGAGGAACACCAGUGGCGAAGGCGGCUCUCUGGUCCGAUACUGACGCUGAGACGCGAAAGCGUGGGGAGCAAACAGGAUUAGAUACCCUGGUAGUCCACGCCGUAAACGAUGGGCACUAGGUGUAGGAGGUAUUGACCCCUUCUGUGCCGAAGCUAACGCAUUAAGUGCCCCGCCUGGGGA